rnacentral:rRNA from 1 species
CGUAGGUGAACCUGCGGAGGGAUCAUUACCGAGUUUACAACUCCCAAACCCCUGUGAACAUACCAAUUGUUGCCUCGGCGGAUCAGCCCGCUCCCGGUAAAACGGGACGGCCCGCCAGAGGACCCCUAAACUCUGUUUCUAUAUGUAACUUCUGAGUAAAACCAUAAAUAAAUCAAAACUUUCAACAACGGAUCUCUUGGUUCUGGCAUCGAUGAAGAACGCAGCAAAAUGCGAUAAGUAAUGUGAAUUGCAGAAUUCAGUGAAUCAUCGAAUCUUUGAACGCACAUUGCGCCCGCCAGUAUUCUGGCGGGCAUGCCUGUUCGAGCGUCAUUUCAACCCUCAAGCCCUCGGGUUUGGUGUUGGGGAUCGGCGAGCCCUUGCGGCAAGCCGGCCCCGAAAUCUAGUGGCGGUCUCGCUGCAGCUUCCAUUGCGUAGUAGUAAAACCCUCGCAACUGGUACGCGGCGCGGCCAAGCCGUUAAACCCCCAACUUCUGAAUGUUGACCUCGGAUCAGGUAGGAAUACCCGCUGAACUUAAGCAUAUCAAUAAGCGGAGG